GGGGAUGUAGCUCAAAUGGUUAGAGCGCUUGCUUACGCGAGAUGCUUGGGGUUCAAGCCCCCACAUGGGGUUCAAUUCCCCGCAUCCUCA